rnacentral:rRNA from 1 species
GACGAACCGUGCGAGCGUUAUUCGGAAUCACUGGGCUUAAAGCGCGUGUAGGCGGGACGGCACGUCGGUCGCUGAAAGCCCCCGGCUCAACCGGGGAACGGGCGCCGAUACGACCGGCCUGGAGGGACGUAGGGGGACCUGGAAUUUCCGGUGGAGCGGUGAAAUGCGUUGAGAUCGGAAGGAACGCCCGUGGCGAAAGCGAGGUCCUGGACGUUUUCUGACGCUGAGACGCGAAAGCCAGGGGAGCGAACGGG